CUCGGGGCUUCUUCACUUCCGCCGGGAAGGGCCACCUCCGAGGUGCUCGGGCCUUGUGGGCGAGUCUCAAAACUCGGUGACUCCGUCCAAGGCGGGGACAGAUUAAGUCCCACCUCCGACGGGGUACCGCGCUGCGCCCGGCUCGACGGCGCCCUCUUCAGACUGUGGAUCCCAAAGCGUGGAAAGCUUGGGGGCCUAACCCAGCCAGGAACCUUGAUCCUUGGCCCAGAGAAGCCCGGCCCUAGCCCUUCCCUGAAGUCCGCGUGCCGGCCGAGGGCACAGUCCGCGCUGCAGAUUUCUGGACACUGUCCUCUCCAGUGGCUCCAACCUAACGCUGCCCAUCCUCUUUGUGCCCUCGACACCUUCUUCUUGUCCUUCCCAGGACCCCGAAAGACAAUGUGGAGCCUCAGUAGGCCGUUUCCUCAGGGCGUCAGCAGCUACUCAAAUUCCCCCUUAAGCGGUGCCUGGGAGGAGCGACCUCUGCUCCCCCCCCCCCCCACACACACACACACACCCGCCUCCCAGGAGCGGCCUCCCCCGCACCAAUAGCUCCCUUCCCUCGGGCCUCACCCCUUCCCGUCCCCUCCCACCUCCACCUCCGCCCCUCUUUCCAGGCCUAGCCAUUCCAGGUGCACCUUCCCGGGGGAACCCGGAGGAAAGGAAGGAGAAAGGGAGGCAAGGAGGGAGCCGGCUCUCGGGCAUCCUCCCAGAUGCGUCUGAGCCGCCUGAAAGUGUGAAGCAGAGGCUGCCCCUGUCCGGUCUGGCUUAGAGAGCCCGAAUUAGCUUUUGUCAGUAGCCCCCUACCCCAGUUCAAGAGUCCCCACAUCUCCAGCCCCUCCCGCACAACGCUGCAGCCGCGGGAGAGCCCGUCCCUUCCACGUGCCAGCAGACCCGCCCCCGCCCGGCCCCCGCACCCUCAGGGCGCUGGGUUAAUCCCGGGCCUCCGUGGCGAAGGGGUGCGAGAUCGUGUUUCAAGCGCCCCCUGCCGCCUCUCCGGACACCAGGAGGCGGCCCCAAUGCAGACCCCGGCCGGGCAGGGACGCCCCUGCAGAUGGGCCGGGGCGGAGCAGCAAAGCAGGGCACCGCCCUCGGCCCGCCCGCCGAGGAGGAGACGCUAGCGGGAGGCUGAGCCUGCGGCGCGCGCCCGGGGACCCGUCGCACUCUGCACUCGGCCGCCUGGGCUGAGGGGACGGGACGGGUGCGGGCGCGGGCUCAGCGGGCCGGGAGCUGAGUCAAGGCCGAGAAGCAGAGGGAGGCAAGAGGACAGUGCACCGAGAUGGCGGCUGCAACGGCUGCGGCGGCCGCGGCGGCGGCGGCGGGGGAAGGGAUGGAGCCUCGAGCGCUGCAGUACGAGCAGACCCUGAUGUAUGGCCGGUACACUCAGGAACUCGGGGCCUUUGCCAAAGAGGAAGCUGCUCGUAUUCGCCUGGGAGGGCCUGAGCCCUGGAAGGGGUCCCCUUCUGCCCGGGCUACCCCAGAGCUCCUAGAAUAUGGACAGAGCCGAUGUGCCAGAUGUCGCAUUUGUUCUGUACGCUGCCACAAGUUCCUGGUGUCCAGGGUCGGUGAAGACUGGAUCUUCCUGGUUCUGUUGGGGCUCCUCAUGGCACUGGUCAGCUGGGCUAUGGACUAUGCCAUCGCUGUCUGUCUACAGGCUCAGCAAUGGAUGUCCCGGGGCUUAAACACCAACAUCUUACUCCAGUACCUGGCUUGGGUUACCUACCCCGUGGUCCUCAUCACUUUCUCUGCUGGAUUCACCCAGAUCCUGGCCCCACAGGCUGUCGGGUCUGGCAUCCCCGAAAUGAAAACCAUCCUUCGGGGAGUGGUGCUGAAAGAAUACCUCACCCUCAAGACCUUUGUAGCUAAGGUCAUUGGGCUAACCUGUGCCCUGGGCAGUGGGAUGCCCCUUGGCAAAGAGGGACCCUUUGUGCACAUUGCCAGCAUGUGUGCCGCCCUUCUCAGCAAGUUCCUCUCCCUCUUUGGGGGUAUCUAUGAGCAUGAGUCCCGGAACACGGAGAUGCUAGCUGCUGCAUGCGCAGUAGGAGUGGGCUGCUGCUUUGCCGCACCAAUCGGAGGGGUCCUAUUCAGCAUUGAAGUCACCUCCACCUUCUUCGCUGUUAGGAACUACUGGCGGGGCUUCUUUGCGGCCACCUUCAGUGCCUUCAUCUUUCGGGUCUUGGCAGUGUGGAACCGUGAUGAAGAAACCAUCACAGCUCUCUUCAAAACUCGGUUCCGACUCGACUUCCCAUUUGACCUGCAAGAGCUGCCAGCCUUUGCUGUCAUUGGCAUUGCUAGUGGCUUCGGGGGAGCCCUCUUUGUCUACCUGAACCGGAAGAUUGUCCAGGUGAUGCGGAAGCAAAAAACCAUCAACCGCUUCCUCAUGAGGAAACGGCUGCUCUUCCCGGCACUGGUGACUCUGCUCAUCUCCACUCUGACCUUCCCCCCUGGCUUUGGACAGUUCAUGGCCGGACAGCUCUCACAGAAGGAGACCCUAGUCACUCUGUUUGACAACCGGACGUGGGUCCGCCAGGGCCUGGUUGAGGAUCUAGAGCUACCCAGCACUUCACAGGCCUGGAGCCCACCACGUGCCAAUGUCUUCCUUACUCUGGUCAUCUUCAUCCUCAUGAAGUUCUGGAUGUCUGCACUGGCUACCACUAUCCCAGUGCCCUGUGGGGCCUUCAUGCCUGUCUUUGUCAUUGUGUUCCCCUACUACCUCUUUCUCUUCCUAAAACCCUCCCUGAAGGAGCGGCAUUUGGGCGGCUGGUGGGCGAAAGCAUGGCCGCCUGGUUCCCAGAUGGGAUUCACACAGAUAGCAGCACCUACCGAAUUGUACCUGGAGGCUAUGCUGUGGUCGGGGCGGCUGCACUCGCAGGAGCAGUGACACACACAGUGUCCACAGCAGUGAUUGUCUUCGAGCUCACGGGCCAGAUCGCUCACAUUCUGCCUGUCAUGAUUGCUGUCAUCCUGGCUAAUGCUGUUGCCCAGAGCCUGCAGCCAUCGCUCUAUGACAGUAUCAUCCGCAUCAAGAAGCUGCCCUACCUACCUGAGCUGGGCUGGGGCCGCCACCAGCAGUACCGGGUGCGAGUCGAGGACAUCAUGGUUCGGGAUGUACCCCAUGUAGCCCUCAGCUGCACUUUUCGGGACCUGCGGUUGGCACUGCACAGAACCAAGGGCCGUAUGUUGGCCCUAGUGGAGUCUCCUGAGUCCAUGAUCCUACUGGGAUCCAUCGAACGCUCACAGGUGGUAGCACUACUAGGAGCCCAGCUGAGCCCAGCGCGCAGGCGGCAGCACAUGCAAAAGCUAAGAAAAGCCCAGCUGUCUCCACCGUCGGAUCAGGAGAGCCCCCCUAGCUCCGAGACAUCUAUCCGCUUCCAGGUGAACACAGAGGACUCGGGCUUCUCUGGAGCCCACGGGCAGACUCACAAGCCCCUGAAGCCUGCUCUAAAGAGAGGGCCCAGCAACAGUACAAGCCUGCAGGAAGGUACCACAGGCAACAUGGAGUCAGCAGGCAUUGCCCUCAGAAGCCUCUUCUGUGGCAGUCCACCUCUGGAGGCAACAUCAGAAUUGGAAAAGUCAGAAUCCUGUGACAAGCGCAAGCUGAAGCGGGUCCGAAUCUCCCUGGCGAGUGACUCAGACCCGGAAGCCGAGAUGAGUCCUGAGGAGAUCUUAGAGUGGGAAGAACAGCAGCUAGAUGAGCCAGUCAACUUCAGUGACUGCAAAAUCGACCCUGCCCCCUUCCAGCUGGUGGAGCGGACUUCUUUGCACAAGACCCACACCAUCUUCUCAUUGCUGGGAGUGGACCAUGCUUAUGUCACCAGCAUUGGCAGACUCAUUGGGAUUGUCACCCUAAAGGAGCUCCGGAAGGCCAUUGAAGGCUCUGUCACAGCACAGGGUGUUAAAGUCAGGCCACCCCUCGCCAGUUUCCGGGACAGUGCCACCAGCAGCAGUGACACAGAGACCACUGAGGUGCAUGCGCUCUGGGGGCCAAGAUCCCGCCACGGCCUCCCACGAGAGGGUACCCCCUCCGACAGUGAUGACAAGUGCCAGUGAACCCCUUACGGAUGGCCUGUAUUCCUUCUGCAAGCAGCAGUGACCAGAAACUGGAACCCAAGGCCACCCUAACUGCUGGGGGAUCAUCAAGUGUCCUGGCGGGAUGAGGUGGGGUUCUAUGGCCCCUGCCCCAUCUUUGAGAAAAGGGCAGAACUAAACUGGGUUUAUACUGGAGCCUCCAAUGACAAGAUGUAUAUAGAAAUUUACAAAGAUUUUUAUAUUAAUUUAAUAAAACAAUAAAUAGAAUAAACACCUAAUUAGCCACUCAUGUAUAGAACACUUGUGCUGUUGGCUCAUAUUUUCACCUUGGAUCCUCUUACCUGUUGCCCAAGCCUCUGAGAUUCAUUCUGCUGCCACUUACCAACCCCAGUGUCCUCGCAAUCUGCCAGCGGCCUCCACUGGCUGAUCAGCAACGCCCUGCCUGGGACAGGGCCCCCUAUCACUGUGGCUACAGCCUUCCAUUCAGCCAAGAAAAGCACUACCCUCUUUCCUCCCCCAAGGACAGCUACUCCCUCAUGACUGUCCAUUCAUUGGCACAAAUCUGGCUCCCCGGGUUGCCCCCUUGUGGUCCUCGAUGAAAGGACAAGGCCCUCCCAGCUCUGUAACAAGCAGAGCCCUUACUUUUUCCAGUUCCGCCCUACUGAGUCUCUGCAUGUGCUCGCACAACCUUGCCAUGCUGGGAAAGGGCCAGGGUGGAGGAGCAGCGAAGGGGGCAAGGGCACACUCUUUCAUCUUUUCCAGUGCCUCCCAAAGAAGAUCGGCUCAAAGAACAGACCAGAAACCCCCUGUCUUUAGGGGAAAAAAAAAA